rnacentral:lncRNA from 1 species
CGUGCAGCCAAUUGUUCUGGAAGAACUCUGACUUUGUGGGACUCAGAGUGCCUUCCUAGAUGUCCUACCAAAUUGGCUUCCAGGCUGUUACAAUGGCUCAAUGCAAAGAUUUGGCACUAAGCCUAACUAACAACCCGAGUCUCAUCCUUGGAACUGUUUAAAAAAGAUUUUGUUUUGGAGUGGAGUGGUUGCUCAUGCCACACCUUUGAUCCCAGCACCCAGAAGGCAGAGGCAGGUGAGUUUGAGGCCAGGUUGGUCUACAUAGUGAGUUCCAAGACAGCAAGGGCUCUGUUGAGAGACCAUGUCUCAAUGAACAAACAAGAAAAUAUGAAAAAAAAUCUAUUUGCU